rnacentral:rRNA from 1 species
UGCGUAGGGUGCGAGCGUUGUCCGGAAUUAUUGGGCGUAAAGAGCUUGUAGGCGGUCUGUCGCGUCUGCUGUGAAAAUCCGGGGCUCAACCCCGGACUUGCAGUGGGUACGGGCAGACUAGAGUGUGGUAGGGGAGACUGGAAUUCCUGGUGUAGCGGUGAAAUGCGCAGAUAUCAGGAGGAACACCUAUUGCGAAGGCAGCUCGCUGGGACGUUACUGACGCUGAGACGCGAAAGCGUGGGGAGCAAACAGG